rnacentral:rRNA from 1 species
CAGCCGCCGCGGGAAUACGUAGGUGGCAAGCGUUGUCCGGAAUUAUUGGGCGUAAAGGGCUCGCAGGCGGUUUCUUAAGUCUGAUGUGAAAGCCCCCGGCUCAACCGGGGAGGGUCAUUGGAAACUGGGAAACUUGAGUGCAGAAGAGGAGAGUGGAAUUCCACGUGUAGCGGUGAAAUGCGUAGAGAUGUGGAGGAACACCAGUGGCGAAGGCGACUCUCUGGUCUGUAACUGACGCUGAGGAGCGAAAGCGUGGGGAGCGAACAGGUUUAGAUACCCGGGUAGUCCCUGUCUCUUAUAC